ensembl:snRNA U2 U2 spliceosomal RNA
AGUGAUUCUUGCCCUUUUGGCUAAGAUCAAGUGUAGUACCUGUUCUUAGCCGUUUAAGAAUUUUACAUGUAUGAGUGUAAUAAAAAUUACAAGUAAAACCUUA